CCUACGGGGGGCUGCAGUGAGGAAUAUUGGUCAAUGGGCGCGAGCCUGAACCAGCCAAGUCGCGUGAAGGAUGACUGCCCUACGGUUUGUAAACUUCUUUUAUAAAGGAAUAAAGUGAGUCUCGUGUGCCUUUUUGUAUGUACUUUAUGAAUAAGGAUCGGCUAACUCCGUGCCAGCAGCCGCGGUAAUACGGAGGAUCCGAGCGUUACCCGGAUUUAUUGGGUUUAAAGGGAGCGUAGAUGGGUUGUUAAGUCAGUUGUGAAAGUUUGCGGCUCAACCGUAAAAUUGCAAUUGAUACUGGCAGCCUUGAGUACAGUUGAGGUAAGCGGAAUUCGUGGUGUAGCGGUGAAAUGCUUAGAUAUCACGAAGAACACCGAUUGCGAAGGCAGCCUACUAAACUGCCACUGACAUUGAUGCUCGAAAGUGUGGGUAUCAAACAGGAUUAGAUACCCUAGUAGUC
rnacentral:rRNA from 1 species